GUCCCCACUUUGCAGGACCUAUAUUCAAUUCAGAAAAAUACAGAGGAGAUUAGCAUGGUUCCUGUAUGAGGAUAACAAACAAAUUAGUGAAGCAUUCCUUAUUUGA